rnacentral:rRNA from 1 species
UAGGGUGCGAGCGUUAAUCGGAAUUACUGGGCGUAAAGCGAGCGCAGACGGUUACUUAAGCAGGAUGUGAAAUCCCCGGGCUCAACCUGGGAACUGCGUUCUGAACUGGGUGACUAGAGUGUGUCAGAGGGAGGUAGAAUUCCACGUGUAGCAGUGAAAUGCGUGGAGAUGUGGAGGAAUACCGAUGGCGAAGGCAGCCUCCUGGGAUAACACUGACGUUCAUGCUCGAAAGCGUGGGUAGCAAACAGGAUUAGAUACCCUGGUAGUCCACGCCCUAAACGAUGUCAAUUAGCUGUUGGGCAACUUGAUUGCUUAGUAGCGUAGCUAACGCGUGAAAUUGACCGCCCGGGGAGUACGGUCGCAAGAUUAAAACUCAAAGGAAUUGACGGGGACCCGCACAAGCGGUGGAUGAUGUGGAUUAAUUCGAUGCAACGCGAAGAACCUUACCUGGUCUUGACAUGUACGGAAUCCUCCAGAGACGGAGGAGUGCCUUCGGGAACCGUAACACAGGUGCUGCAUGGCUGUCGUCAGCUCGUGUCGUGAGAUGUUGGGUUAAGUCCCGCAACGAGCGCAACCUUUGUCAUUAGUUGCCAUCAUUUAGUUGGGCACUCUAAUGAGACUGCCGGUGACAAGCCGGAGGAAGGUGGGGAUGACGUCAAGUCCUCAUGGCCCUUAUGACCAGGGCUUCACACGUCAUACAAUGGUCGGUACAGAGGGUAGCCAAGCCGCGAGGUGGAGCCAAUCUCACAAAACCGAUCGUAGUCCGGAUUGCACUCUGCAACUCGAGUGCAUGAAGUCGGAAUCGCUAGUAAUCGCAGGUCAGCAUACUGCGGUGAAUACGUUCCCGGGUCUU